rnacentral:rRNA from 1 species
GACGAACGCUGGCGGCGUGCUUAACACAUGCAAGUCGAACGGAAAGGCCCUGCUUGCAGGGUGCUCGAGUGGCGAACGGGUGAGUAACACGUGGGUGAUCUGCCCCUUACUUUGGGAUAAGCCUGGGAAACUGGGUCUAAUACUGGAUAGGACCAUGCUGUAGGUGGUGUGGUGGAAAGAUUUUUUCGGUAAGGGAUGAGCUCGCGGCCUAUCAGCUUGUUGGUGGGGUAAUGGCCUACCAAGGCGUCGACGGGUAGCCGGCCUGAGAGGGUGGACGGCCACAUUGGGACUGAGAUACGGCCCAGACUCCUACGGGAGGCAGCAGUGGGGAAUAUUGCACAAUGGCCGCAAGCCUGAUGCAGCGACGCCGCGGGGGGGAUGACGGCCUUCGGGUUGUAAACUCCUUUCAGCCAUGACGAAGCCUCUUUUGGGGUGACGGUAGUGGUAGAAGAAGCACCGGCUAACUACGUG